AAGUCGAGGGGCAGCAUGAACUUAGCUUGCUAAGUUUGAUGGCGACCGGCGCACGGGUGAGUAACACGUAUCCAACCUGCCGAUGACUCGGGGAUAGCCUUUCGAAAGAAAGAUUAAUACCCGAUGGCAUAAUUCUUCCGCAUGGUAGAAUUAUUAAAGAAUUUCGGUCAUCGAUGGGGAUGCGUUCCAUUAGGUAGUAGGCGGGGUAACGGCCCACCAAGCCUUCGAUGGAUAGGGGUUCUGAGAGGAAGGUCCCCACAUUGGUACUGAGACACGGACCAAACUCC
rnacentral:rRNA from 1 species